rfam:Schistosoma rodhaini strain Burundi genome assembly, scaffold: SROB_scaffold0019967
AUUCAGCUGAAGAGUCCUCAAUAGGAUGAAACGCGCGUUCUGGAU